rnacentral:rRNA from 1 species
AUUUAGACGGGGAAUUGCGAAGGGUUCAUUAAAUCAGUUAUGGUUUAUUUGAAAGAACCUUACUACCUGGAUACCUGGGGGAAAUUUUAAAACUAAAACCUGGUAAAAACUCCCCCUUCGGAAGGAGGGGAUUUUUUAAAAAAAAAACCAAUGCCCUUCGGGGCUCCUUGGUGAAUCAUAAAAAACUUACCGAACCGAAGGGCCUUGCCCCGGCAAGGGUUCAUUCAAUUUUCUGCCCUACCAAUUUUCGUUGGAAGGAAAGGGGCCUACCUAGGUUGCAACGGGAAAGGGGGAA